rnacentral:lncRNA from 1 species
AUGAGCUCCUUGGUGUGCAUAGGGCAGGGCCUUGGGUCUCCUGUGAAUACCAGGGUACAUCCCCUCGUGAGAGCAAGUCAUGAGAAGAAAUGUGGCCCAAAGAAAGCUGCAUGCAGGAUUUUAGAACACUGCAUCAGGAAUUUCCAUGGAGAUUAUUCAAUUCAUUUCUCAACUGCAUCUACAAAUUUAAGACUUUUAUGUGCAGUGCUACAAGAAGCAAGCGGAGAAGCAAUAUUGCAAUCUGCUAUCUUGUUCACCGGUCGUGCUUGGAGUGCUGGUGUGAUCUGUGAUUUUUCUUAACUGCCUCAAAUAACUGAAUGCUUCUUGCUGUGAAGAAAAUCUGAACUAUUGCUACCAUUCUAGUAUGAAAACAUCAGUAAGAACCGGAUGAUUCUGGAUACACGUUUGAGGAGAUAAGUUUCUGAUCUUUUUAUGUUUCUCUAGCUUUUUCUAAAGGCCUUGUGUGUUUUGUGUAAGCUCAUUUCAUUGCCUUUGACGUUUAUUUGCUACAGCUGACCAACCUCUAAAAUUAAGGUCCUAUUUUGUUAGUGCCACUAAAACCACAGGGAGCCCAGCAGAAUAAAGGCAAAUGUUUGUGAGGGUUCUCCUGCA